rnacentral:rRNA from 1 species
CUACGGGGUGCACCAGUAGGGAAUCUUCCGCAAUGGACGAAAGUCUGACGGAGCAACGCCGCGUGAGUGAUUAAGGUUUUCGGAUUGUAAAACUCUGUCAUUAGGGAAGAAAAGAUAUAGUUUAAACAAGGCUAUAUUGUGACGGUACCUAAAGAGGAAGCCCCGGCUAGCUACGUGGCCAGCAGCCGCGGUAAUACGUAGGGGGCAAGCGUUGUCCGGAAUUAUUGGGCGUAAAGCGCGCGUAGGCGGUUCUUUAAGUCUGGUGUGAAAGCCCACGGCUCAACCGUGGAGGGUCAUUGGAAACUGGAGGACUUGAGUGCAGGAGAGGAAAGCGGAAUUCCAUGUGUAGCGGUGAAAUGCGUAGAUAUAUGGAGGAACACCAGUGGCGAAGGCGGCUUUCUGGCCUGCAACUGACGCUGAGGCGCGAAAGCGUGGGGAGCAAACAGGAUUAGAUACCCCCGUAGUC